rnacentral:rRNA from 1 species
UACGAAGGGGGGCUAGCGUUGUUCGGAAUCACUGGGCGUAAAGCGCACGUAGGCGGAUUUGUAAGUCAGGGGUGAAAUCCCGGGGCUCAACCUCGGAACUGCCUUUGAUACUGCAAAUCUCGAGUCCGGAAGAGGUGAGUGGAAUUCCUAGUGUAGAGGUGAAAUUCGUAGAUAUUAGGAAGAACACCAGUGGCGAAGGCGGCUCACUGGUCCGGUACUGACGCUGAGGUGCGAAGCGUGGGGAGCAACAGG